UAUGUGAGAACAGAGGACAACUUUGUGUUAUGCUUUUAGUUAAAAAUUAAAUACUAAUUGUGAGUCAUAGUCAUAGUAUAGCUUUUGAUAUAUUUGGAAAUGAAAAAAACUUGUCUACAUAACUUUCUUCAGCGCGUGUCUGUAAAUCGCGAAAACUAAAUAAAUGACAGAUCUGUUAAAUGAGGUCGAGCUUGAUGCUCCAGAAAUUAAAGCAUAUGCGUUUAACGUAAAAGGAUAAAUAAAACAAAAUAUCGAAAAGUGUACCAGCCACGCGCGACUACCGACCAGUAAGUGACCAGCUACCAAAACCAAAAUAAUGUAUAUGAAAGGAUCAAGGAUCUACGUUUAAAGAUGUAUACAUGUUUAUAUAUAUAUAUAUAUAUAUAAUUGACCGAUAAAAAUUUAUGAAAACAAAAGGAAAGUACCGCUAUUCUUAGUCAGAAUUUAAGCUUGUCCUGAUGCCUGUCCUGGACCGAGUAGACAUUUAGCCACUUGGUGCCUGUCGAGACUCAAGGCUCAAAGAAGAUCAAUAUCAUAUCAAGUGUUGGAGAACUUUUUACAUUGCUAAUUUAUUUUUUUUUAACCGAAAAAAUUCCAAAAUAAUAUUCGUUUGAGUAAAUCCAAAAUAGCUAUCUAUAAUGCUCGAGUUUUUAGUAAAAUUUUUUUAAAAAGCUUACUAAAAAAAUUUGAUGUUUUUCAGAUAUUUAGAUACCGAUUAUCUGUUCUACUUUUCAAUUUGUUUACAAACAACUCAGACGUAUAAAUUGUGUGAAUGUGUCAUGUGAAAGUAUUACUUGUUUGCUUGUAAAAUAAAAUACUUAUUAAAUAUAACCUACCAUCCUAGAUUUUAAAUCAACUGGUGACUAGAAAUUUGAAUAGCGCGCCUAAAUUUUAACCAAUAAUGAAUCGUGGCCCGUUUUUUGCGAGU